rnacentral:rRNA from 1 species
GACGAACGCUGGCGGCGUGCUUAACACAUGCAAGUCGAACGGAAAGGCCCUGCUUUUGUGGGGUGCUCGAGUGGCGAACGGGUGAGUAACACGUGAGUAACCUGCCCUUGACUUUGGGAUAACUUCAGGAAACUGGGGCUAAUACCGGAUAGGAGCUCCUGCUGCAUGGUGGGGGUUGGAAAGUUUCGGCGGUUGGGGAUGGACUCGCGGCUUAUCAGCUUGUUGGUGGGGUAGUGGCUUACCAAGGCUUUGACGGGUAGCCGGCCUGAGAGGGUGACCGGCCACAUUGGGACUGAGAUACGGCCCAGACUCCUACGGGAGGCAGCAGUGGGGAAUAUUGCACAAUGGGCGGAAGCCUGAUGCAGCAACGCCGCGUGCGGGAUGACGGCCUUCGGGUUGUAAACCGCUUUCGCCUGUGACGAAGCGUGAGUGACGGUAAUGGGUAAAGAAGCACCGGCUAACUACGUGCCAGCAGCCGCGGUGAUACGUAGGGUGCGAGCGUUGUCCGGAUUUAUUGGGCGUAAAGGGCUCGUAGGUGGUUGAUCGCGUCGGAAGUGUAAUCUUGGGGCUUAACCCUGAGCGUGCUUUCGAUACGGGUUGACUUGAGGAAGGUAGGGGAGAAUGGAAUUCCUGGUGGAGCGGUGGAAUGCGCAGAUAUCAGGAGGAACACCAGUGGCGAAGGCGGUUCUCUGGGCCUUUCCUGACGCUGAGGAGCGAAAGCGUGGGGAGCGAACAGGCUUAGAUACCCUGGUAGUCCACGCUGUAAACGGUGGGUACUAGGUGUGGGGUCCAUUCCACGGGUUCCGUGCCGUAGCUAACGCUUUAAGUACCCCGCCUGGGGAGUACGGCCGCAAGGCUAAAACUCAAAGGAAUUGACGGGGCCCCGCACAAGCGGCGGAGCAUGCGGAUUAAUUCGAUGCAACGCGUAGAACCUUACCUGGGUUUGACAUGGAUCGGGAGUGCUCAGAGAUGGGUGUGCCUCUUUUGGGGUCGGUUCACAGGUGGUGCAUGCCUGUCGUCAGCUCGUGUCGUGAGAUGUUGGGUUAAGUCCCGCAACGAGCGCAACCCUUGUUCACUGUUGCCAGCACGUUAUGGUGGGGACUCAGUGGAGACCGCCGGGGUCAACUCGGAGGAAGGUGGGGAUGACGUCAAGUCAUCAUGCCCCUUAUGUCCAGGGCUUCACGCAUGCUACAAUGGCUGGUACAGAGAGUGGCGAGCCUGUGAGGGUGAGCGAAUCUCGGAAAGCCGGUCUCAGUUCGGAUUGGGGUCUGCAACUCGACCUCAUGAAGUCGGAGUCGCUAGUAAUCGCAGAUCAGCAACGCUGCGGUGAAUAAAUUCCCGGGGCU